AACGUAGGUGGCAAGCGUUACUCGGAUUUACUAGGCGUAAAGCGGAUGUAGGCGGGCAGUUAAGUUCCUUGUUUAAGCUCCAGGCUUAACCUGGAGAGGUCAAGGAAAACUGGUUGUCUUGAGUAAGGUAGGGGAGACUGGAAUUCCCGGUGUAGCGGUGAAAUGCGUAGAUACCGGGAGGAACGCCAAUGGCGAAAGCAGGUCUCUGGGCCUUCACUGACGCUGAGAUCCGAAAGCUAGGGGAGCAAACAGG
rnacentral:rRNA from 1 species